rnacentral:rRNA from 1 species
UGACGCUAAUGCUCGAAAGUGCGGGUAUCGAACAGGAUUAGAUACCCUGGUAGUCCGCACGGUAAACGAUGGAUGCCCGCUGUUGGCGAUAUAUUGUCAGCGGCCAAGCGAAAGCGUUAAGCAUCCCACCUGGGGAGUACGCCGGCAACGGUGAAACUCAAAGGAAUUGACGGGGGCCCGCACAAGCGGAGGAACAUGUGGUUUAAUUCGAUGAUACGCGAGGAACCUUACCCGGGCUUGAACUGCCAGAGAACGACGGAGAGAUCCUGAGGCCCUUCGGGGCUCUGGUGGAGGUGCUGCAUGGUUGUCGUCAGCUCGUGCCGUGAGGUGUCGGCUUAAGUGCCAUAACGAGCGCAACCCUUUUCGCUAGUUGCCAUCAGGUUAUGCUGGGCACUCUGGCGAUACUGCCACCGUAAGGUGUGAGGAAGGUGGGGAUGACGUCAAAUCAGCACGGCCCUUACGUCCGGGGCUACACACGUGUUACAAUGGGUGGUACAGAGAGUCGGCCGUCUGCAAAUGCGGUCCAAUCAAUAAAGCCAUCCUCAGUUCGGAUUGGGGUCUGCAACCCGACCCCAUGAAGCUGGAUUCGCUAGUAAUCGC